AGUAUUAAAGAUAUAAUCCAAUAAUCCUGCAUUAAUCUCAAAAUCUUUAAUAAGAUUUAUUAAGAUUUCAUUGUUAUUAUAUUAUUAAGUUAAUUAUAAUUCCAUUAUAGUAAAUUUCAAAAUCUACUAUACUGCAAAAAAUGCAUUGUUUCAUUUAUAUUCUCAAAAUAAUUUUCAUUAUCUUCCACUUUUUUUUUAUUCUUCCAUUUAUUUUCAUUAUCUUUACUGAGCACGUUUCACUCGUAUCUUUAUCAACCACCACGACUUAUUAUCCUGAAAGUACACGUUUGUAACCGGUCUCGUACGGCUCGUAUGCAGCUAUUUUCAACCUUGACCUGUAUUCAACCGGCGUAAACCCAGGAUCCACAGCGAAUCGAACAAAUCCAAAACUGAAGGAGCGUGAAAACGACUUUAUCUUAUGCCGCCCUGCUCAUGCCCGUCGUUCUUUGCCGCGUGGAACGUGAAAUGAAACGAAAUGAAGGACGUGUUCCGCCGCCAAAUUGUGUCGAGGAUCCAAGAUGGAUAUCUGUCUGGCCGGUAACGUGAAUCAAAACGUGAGUUUGCUACGUAUGCACACCGAAAAUCCAGAGCCGAGACAGCCACGUCUGUCUGGUUAACAGCCUAAUAAAGAUAGCUCAUAGCUGGUUGAAGCGGUUUCGUUGGACCUCUAUUGGGAGCUCUUGAUGGGUAGACAGUACGAAAAUGCAGUCAGAGGAGAUCGAGAAAAUAUUGCGUCACCGAACUAAGUCAUUCGUUAAUAGGAAUUGCAUUCGCAUAAAAAAAUAUAGCAGUUGCGGUUGAUUGCGGUGAUCAGUCGUUUCCUCGAAAAGAAAUUCGUAACACCGAUAAACAGAGAAAGAGAUCUCGGUGACUUCAUUGAUCAUUGCAUAAGAUAAUAUUUUUUGUUAUUUCUAGGAAGAUUGAAUGGCCUGAAUCGAGAUAUUUAAUAAUUUACCAAAAAGAAAUCGGAUAAAUUUAUAAAAUUUUUAGGUUAAGAACUCUAAUAUCGUCUCUCUGAAAUCUUAUUGUUCUUAUUUAAAAUCUUAUUGAUUUUGUAAUCUGACAAAAUUAUUAUAAUUACUUGAAUAAUUAA
rnacentral:lncRNA from 11 species